rnacentral:pre_miRNA from 1 species
AUUAUACUCCCUCCGUUCGGAAUUACUUGUCUCGAAAAUGGAUGUAUCUAGAACUAGAAUACGUCUAGAUACAUCCAUUUCUGCGACAAGUAAUUCCGAACGGAGGGAGUACAUC